rnacentral:rRNA from 1 species
GACGAACGCUGGCGGCGUGCUUAACACAUGCAAGUCGAACGGUAAGGCCCUUCGGGGUACACGAGUGGCGAACGGGUGAGUAACACGUGGGUGAUCUGCCCUGCACUUCGGGAUAAGCCUGGGAAACUGGGUCUAAUACCGGAUAGGACUCCUGGCUUCAUGGUUGGGGGUGGAAAGCUUUUGCGGUGUGGGAUGGGCCCGCGGCCUAUCAGCUUGUUGGUGGGGGAAUGGCCUACCAAGGCGACGACGGGUAGCCGGCCUGAGAGGGUGACCGGUCACACUGGGACUGAGAUACGGCCCAGACUCCUACGGGAGGCAGCAGUGGGGAAUAUUGCACAAUGGGCGCAAGCCUGAUGCAGCGACGCCGCGUGAGGGAUGACGGCCUUCGAGUUGUAAACCUCUUCCAGCUAUGACGAAGCGCAAGUGACGGUAGUAGCAGAAGAAGGACCGGCCAACUACGUGCCAGCCGCCGCAGUAA